rnacentral:rRNA from 1 species
ACCUGGUUGAUCCUGCCAGCAAUCAUAUGCUUGUUUAAAAGAUUAAGCCAUGCAUGUCUAAGUAUAAGCCGCACGAUCGGCGAAACUGCGAAUGGCUCAUUAUAUCAGCUACAAUCUACUCGAUUUAUAAAGUUACACGGAUAACUGUAGGAAUUCUAGAGCUAAUACGUGCGAAAGGGCCGGAACGGGUUUCGAUCCGCGAAGGCCGUAGUUGCAAGGCGAGAAACCGGUUCGGGGUAUUCCAAACUUCCAGGGUGCGAAUUCUGGAGGGCUCCGAUCCUGUAAGACGAAUCAUUGCAAAGCGUUGCGAAUCGGGGGCAAAAGCUUCCGAUGAUGCGAACGAGUAUCUGCCCUAUCAACUUUCAAUCGUAGUGUAGGGGACUACGAUGGUGAUAACGGGUACGGGGAAUUAGGGUUCGAUUCCGGAGAGUUAGCCUUAAAAAUGGCUAACAUUACCAAGGUAAGCAGCAGGCGCGUAAAUUAUCCAAUCCCGAUUCGGGGAGAUAGUGACAAGAAAUAUCGGUGUGGGGCCUUUAUAGGCUUCACGAUCGAAAUGAGUACAAUUUAAAAACCUUAACGAGGAACAAUUGGAGGGCAAGUCUGGUGCCAGCACCCGCGGUAAUUCCAGCUCCAAGAGCGUAUAUUAAAGUUGUUGCGGUUAAAAAGCUCGUAGUUGAACCGAGAGGGCGGAGCACGGAUUUAAAAAGCUUUCGGGCCUUCGCUUCGCGCGGGGGUUCGGGGGUCGUGGGUUCGUCCUCGAAUUUGCGAUGAACUAAACCGGCUUGGAGGGGAUUCCUUCCGUCUUCUUCGUGUAAAAAGCGAAGGGGGGGGAGGAUUCGUCUUCUUCUCGUCGGAUCGCAGAGUUUUACUUUGAAUAAAUUAGGGUGUUCAAAGCAGACGAAUACGUCUUGAAUAGAUUAGCAUGGGAUAAUGAAAUAAGACCUUCAAGAAGGGGAAAGGGCGGCUCUUCGUAGUCGUCGUUUCUUCUUUUCGGCUUAAGUUUGCUGGUUUCUGAGGCCGAGGUAAUGAUUAAUAGGGACGGUCGGGGUCGCUCGUACUCGGUGGUGAGAGGUGAAAUUCUAAGACCCAUCGAAGACGAACAAGUGCGAAGGCAUUCGACAAGGAUGUUUUCUUUAAUCAAGAACGAAAGUUAUGGGAUCGAAGAUGAUCAGAUACCGUCGUAGUCAUAACCGUAAACUAUGUUGACUCGGGAUCGGAGGAUGUUACAUGGAUGACUCUUCCGGCACCGUGUGCGAAAGCACAAGUAUUCGGACUCCGGGGGGAGUAUGGUCGCAAGGCUGAAACUUAAAGGAAUUGACGGAAGGGCACCACCAGGUGUGGAAUCUGCGGCUUAAUUUGACUCAACACGGGGAAACUUACCCAGUCCGGACGCGAUGAGGAUUGACAGAUUGAUAGUUCUUUCUUGAUUUUGUGGAAGCCGGUGCAUGGCCGUUUUUAGUUGGUGGAGCGAUUUGUCUGGUUAAGUCCGAUAACGAACGAGACCUAAAUUUAUUAAAUAGUGGUGCGGACAAGGGGGCUUUCGCGCCGGCGGGUUCGGGUUCAUAGCCCGGGUUCGUCGAUGGGGCCUCCGCAAAUUUGUUCGUAGCUUAAAAAUUACUUCUUAGAGAGACGCUUGGUCGAUAACAGCAGCCAAUGGAAGUUUUAGGCAAAAACAGGUCUGUGAUGCCGCUAGAUGUCUGGGGCUGCACGCGCGUUACACUGACGUGUUCAACAAGUAUUCGAAAAUUACCUGGCCCGAAGGGGUUUGGGCAAUCUCUAAAUGCACGUCGUGAUGGGGAUUGUGCUUUGUAACUAUCGCACAUGAACGAGGAGUACCUAGUAAGGGUAGGUCAUCAACCUGCCCUGAUUACGUCCCUGCCCUUUGUACACACCGCCCGUCGCUUCUACCGAUUGAAUUGCUCGAUGAGGACUCGGGAGGUGGAGCGUGAUCCGGUUCCGCCGGUGAUGUUCUGCCGAACCUGUUCGAAUCUCGUAGUUUAGAGGAAGAAGAAGUCGUAACAAGGUCUCCGUAGGUGAACCUGCGGAAG